ensembl:lncRNA
UUCCAACAGUCAGUAAUAUUAUGUUUCUAACUCCAACAGUCAGUAAUAUUAUGUUUCUAACUCCAACAGUCAGUAAUAUUAUGUUUCUAACUCCAACAGUCAGUAAUAUUAUGUUUCCAACAGUCAGUAAUAUUAUGUUUCCAACAGUCAGUAAUAUUAUGUUUCCAACAGUCAGUAAUAUUAUGUUUCCAACAGUCAGUAAUAUUAUGUUUCCAACUCCAACAGUCAGUAAUAUUAUGUUUCCAACUCCAACAGUCAGUAAUAUUAUGUUUCCAACAGUCAGUAAUAUUAUGUUUCCAACAGUCAGUAAUAUUAUGUUUCCAACAGUCAGUAAUAUUAUGUUUCCAACUCCAACAGUCAGUAAUAUUAUGUUUCCAACAGUCAGUAAUAUUAUGUUUCCAACAGUCAGUAAUAUUAUGUUUCCAACAGUCAGUAAUAUUAUGUUUCCAACAGUCAGUAAUAUUAUGUUUCUAACUCCAACAGUCAGUAAUAUUAUGUUUCUAACUCCAACAGUCAGUAAUAUUAUGUUUCCAACUCCAACAGUCAGUAAUAUUAUGUUUCCAACAUUCAGUAAUAUUAUGUUUCCAACAGUCAGUAAUAUUAUGUUUCCGACAGUCAGUAAUAUUAUGUUUCCAACAGUCAGUAAUAUAAUGUUUCUAACUCCGACAGUCAGUAAUAUUAUGUUUCCAACAGUCAGUAAUAUAAUGUUUCUAACUCCAACAGUCAGUAAUAUUAUGUUUCCGACAGUCAGUAAUAUUAUGUUUCCAACAGUCAGUAAUAUAAUGUUUCUAGCUCCAACAGUCAGUAAUAUAAUGUUUCUAGCUCCAACAGUCAGUAAUAUUAUGUUUCCAACAGUCAGUAAUAUUAUGUUUCCGACAGUCAGUAAUAUUAUGUUUCCAACAGUCAGUAAUAUAAUGUUUCUAACUCCAACAGUCAGUAAUAUUCUGUUUCUAACUCCAACAGUCAGUAAUAUUAUGUUUCCAACAGUCAGUAAUAUUAUGUUUCCAACAGUCAGUAAUAUAAUGUUUCUAACUCCAACAGUCAGUAAUAUUAUGUUUCUAGCUCCAACAGUCAGUAAUAUUAUGUUUCCAACAGUCAGUAAUAUAAUGUUUCCAACAGUCAGUAAUAUUAUGUUUCCGACAGUCAGUAAUAUUAUGUUUCCAACUCCAACAGUCAGUAAUAUUAUGUUUCCAACAGUCAGUAAUAUUAUGUUUCCAACUCCAACAGUCAGUAAUAUUAUGUUUCCAACUCCAACAGUCAGUAAUAUAAUGUUUCUAGCUCCAACAGUCAGUAAUAUUAUGUUUCCAACAGUCAGUAAUAUUAUGUUUCCAACUCCAACAGUCAGUAAUAUUAUGUUUCCAACAGUCAGUAAUAUUAUGUUUCCAACAGUCAGUAAUAUUAUGUUUCCAACUCCAACAGUCAGUAAUAUAAUGUUUCUAACUCCAACAGUCAGUAAUAUUAUGUUUCCAACAGUCAGUAAUAUUAUGUUUCCAACAGUCAGUAAUAUUAUGUUUCCAACUCCAACAGUCAGUAAUAUUAUGUUUCUAGCUCCAACAGUCAGUAAUAUUAUGUUUCCAACAGUCAGUAAUAUUAUGUUUCCAACUCCAACAGUCAGUAAUAUUAUGUUUCCAACAGUCAGUAAUAUUAUGUUUCCAACUCCAACAGUCAGUAAUAUAAUGUUUCUAACUCCAACAGUCAGUAAUAUUAUGUUUCUAACUCCAACAGUCAGUAAUAUUAUGUUUCCGACAGUCAGUAAUAUUAUGUUUCCGACAGUCAGUAAUAUUAUGUUUCCAACAGUCAGUAAUAUUAUGUUUCCAACAUUCAGUAAUAUUAUGU